UUUAUGGAGAGUUUGAUCCUGGCUCAGGAUGAACGCUGGCGGCGUGCCUAAUACAUGCAAGUCGAGCGAACGGACGAGAAGCUUGCUUCUCUGAUGUUAGCGGCGGACGGGUGAGUAACACGUGGAUAACCUACCUAUAAGACUGGGAUAACUUCGGGAAACCGGAGCUAAUACCGGAUAAUAUUUUGAACCGCAUGGUUCAAAAGUGAAAGACGGUCUUGCUGUCACUUAUAGAUGGAUCCGCGCUGCAUUAGCUAGUUGGUAAGGUAACGGCUUACCAAGGCAACGAUGCAUAGCCGACCUGAGAGGGUGAUCGGCCACACUGGAACUGAGACACGGUCCAGACUCCUACGGGAGGCAGCAGUAGGGAAUCUUCCGCAAUGGGCGAAAGC
rnacentral:rRNA from 1 species